rnacentral:piRNA from 1 species
GGUAGAGCGGAGGACUGUAGUGGAUAAGCU